GCCUGGGUAGCUCAGCUGGUUGAGCGCCUGACUUUGGCUCAGGUCAUGAUCUCAACAGUUCGUGGGUUCGAGCCCCAUGUCAGGCU